GACAAAGAAGAAUGAAGAAUCCAAAGUAUAAAAGCCAGAUGUCAUAUUUCUGAACUCUCCCUAACAUUGGCCCCUCCAAUCCCACACUCCCAACCACCAACAAAUCCACCGUCAAUGGCGAACUCUUUCAUUCCACUUUCUCUCUUUCACUCGCAUUUUCCCUCUCUUCCUCAUUGCACCUUCAAAUUCUCCACCACUCGCUGCAAUUACUCGUCUCUUGAAGUUAGAGAUGUUAGUUAUCAACCUCCAGGGACUCAGCUUAAGCUUCUCAAUUCAGUUAAUUUUUCACUUCCUGAGAAAAGUUUAGGUCUAAUUUUCGGACAGAGUGGAAGUGGAAAAACAACUCUCUUGCAGCUCCUUGCAGGAAUAAGCAAACCAACAUCUGGAUCUAUUCACAUUCAAAAAUAUGGGGAUGAUGGGAAUCCUAGUCAAUCUCCAGAGCCCUUGGUGCCGGAAAGGGUUGGUAUUGUCUUCCAGUUUCCGGAGAGGUAUUUUGUUGCUGAUACUGUACUUGAUGAAGUUACUUUUGGGUGGCCAAGGCAAAAGGGUAAUGAUCAAUUAAGGGAGAAUCUUGCUCUAGGGCUUCAGAGGGCAAUUAACUGGGUUGGAUUAGGUGGGAUAUCAUUGGAUACGAAUCCUCAAUCCCUCAGUGGUGGUUACAAGCGUCGCCUUGCUUUGGCAAUACAAUUGGUGCAAAUCCCUGAUUUAUUAAUAUUGGAUGAACCUCUUGCCGGACUUGAUUGGAAAGCACGUGCGGAUAUUGUGAAGCUUUUAAAGCAUCUAAAAAAAAAGUUAACUGUUCUAGUUGUCAGCCAUGACUUGAGCGAGUUUGCAAGUCUAGUUGAUCAAUCAUGGAGGAUGGGAAUGGGUGGCAAUCUUAGACAGGAGCUUCUACCAUUAUAAUUUUUAUUUAUUGCCUUGAUAAUCAGUGUGGAAUGCUACGAGGUCAUAGAAAGGGAUGCUAAGAUCUCACCCCGACACUUAUGAAUUGAACUCUUGCAUUUCUCUAAAUUAUUGAGCAGAGAUAAUAUCUAUUGCUGCCUGAAAGAUCCACAUUAUGUCAAGAAAGCGAUGUGAGUUACUUUUUGCAUGGAGCUGGAGAAAAUUAAAGAGUUGUAAACCUCAGACUUUAACAUUACUAAUAUUUAUGAUUACUAAUCAUUUAUCAUUUGUAAAACAUACAUCAUCCAUGGAGUUGGACGUUCUUAACUCUGGAUUUUACCAUGUCACAUAAAUUUUAGGAACUCAAAGGUUUCCCACAAGAUACCCUACAUCUGAUGCUGUGCAUAAAGAAAUUAUAUUUUAAAUUUUAUAGCAACAUGUUCUUCUACAAGAACAGUUUUUACAUGUUGUAAUUGCUUUGACCUCCCUCCAGCAGUGAUACUUGUUGAAAAUAGGUUCUUACAGUGAAGAUGUUCUCUUUGGUA